AGAUCACUGCAGCGGAGAUGGAGGACCGACAGGACCGUGGGUUAUGCUUCGACUGCGACAGCAAAUUCACGUCCGGCCACCGAUAGAAAUUGGACCAUGCAUCAAUAUUCCGAGCUCUCAUAAAUCACGAUUUUGCCAAAUUUCUAUUUUAGUUGCUCCGUCUUUGUCUUUUUCAAUGAUAUUGGAAACUGGAAAGAUCUUUUGACUCGCUUUUGGAAAAGGUAUCAGAAACUUUGGGUCGACGCCCGACGCUCGCCGCCCAGUCUAAAGCAUGGUGCAGUUGCACACUUAAACGUUGGUUAAAUGGGCUGUGGUUUCGGAGAUGGAGCAUGUUGGGCAUUUGAUGUGAAAAAUGAAAACAUUCUUAAAUAAAACAGAAAAGCCCAUCAGCCCCAACGUAUUAAUUUCACGGGCUGUUGAGUGCCGCUCCAUUUGCCACCUUCCUACUAUAAAUACACACACCAACCAGCGCCCCAACCCUCUUGCUGGCGGACCUGGAGAUGAGGAAGGGGGAGACGACGACUAGAUGCAAUAGACCACGCCGGUGGUCAACCACCCACAUCCGCUGGACAGACCUUCUGGUUCGACAGCCCUUCCGCCAAGUCCAAGCAGGCAGCUUGGGGUAGCUCUGUUAGGCAGAUCUAUGCCUUCGGUGCCGUCGAAGACUUCUGGAGCCUUCACAGUUCCUAGAGAAUCUGCCAACGUUGGUGUCUAUUGGAUUAGGUGGCAUCAGAGUGAUCAAUAAUUGCAAUUUUAUGGAUUGAAAUUUGUGUUUGAUGGUAAAAGAUUUGGGAUGGCUUGAUGAAUACAAGAGUUUAGCAUAUCCUAAGUGAGGAAAUAUCAAGCAAUUCCACACAGCUACCAAACAUACAAUGGGGUUCUGAAUGGAGGGCAUAUGGUAAGAAGGUGUAAUAGAUUUUUCUGAUUUUGGACUUUUAUGAAAUGUAAAUGGAAAUUGAAUGUAAUAGAUAUAGGUUGUUUGGUAUAUGAUUAGGGUACAAUAUUGGUUUCAUAAUCUUUUCAUAGUGUUCAUUGUAAUUUGUAUGGUGUCAUUUUUAUGUUAAUUGCCAUUAUACUUUAUAGUUGGUUGGACUUCA